UUUGGGAAGUGAUGAUAAGAUAUAUCAAUAUAUCAUAGGCACAUGCAAUGCUGAACGAUAUAUAUUUGCACGUCAGUCUGAUCCCUUU
rfam:Arabidopsis thaliana chromosome 2, complete sequence.